GAUUGAGUAUUUUUUGGUACCAGCUGUGUUCUAGCUCUUGGAAAUAAACCAGUCAAUGUAAAGGCAGCUUUCCUGUUUCAUUGAGAGGAGAAAGACAAAAAAAUUAAGGAAGUCAAUAUUUAAAAGUGAUUGAUGCAUGUUAUAUGCAACAUGGAACACACUGAUGCGAUGGUGAUGGAAGUUAUGCCAUGUUUUCCAUAAUGAACACAGAGGAAUUCCCUGAGGUGAAGCCUUUGAGCGAAGGUUUGAAGAGCAAAAAGAAAUGAAACCUGUGACGACUGGAAAAGGGCACACAAAUGCCAGGACUCCAAAUCAGGAACAACAUUGACAUGUUUAAGAAAAUGCAAAAGGCCUUGUUUGAGCGAAGAGGAGGGAAGGAGAGAGAAGGCAUCUUCUACUUGCUGAUUCACACGUCAGCUGCCCAUCACAGUUGAAUUAAUUUCAGCAUCUGAAAGAACACCCUAUACUAUUAUGUAUGGACGCAAAACAAAAUCUGUGGCUGUGGCAAAGGAGAACAGAGUAGGUGUUUUCCUGUUCCUUCUCUCUUACCAGGAAGAUUGUGUACGAUAAGCAGAUAACUGUCCAUCAACUAGUUUACCUCAGUUGAUGCUCUUAGUUAAUGGCUGAUGAGAAACAUAUAACUGAU